GACGAACGCUGGCGGCGUGCUUAACACAUGCAAGUCGAACGGUGAAGCGCCUUCCUUUUUGGUGGGUGUGGAUGAGUGGCGAACGGGUGAGUAACACGUGAGUAACCUGCCCCCUUCUUCUGGAUAACCGCAUGAAAGUGUGGCUAAUACGGGAUAUUCUGGGUCUGUCGCAUGACGGGUCUGGGAAAGAUAUUGUUUCGGUGGGGGAUGGGCUCGCGGCCUAUCAGCUUGUUGGUGGGGUGAUGGCCUACCAAGGCGGUGACGGGUAGCCGGCCUGAGAGGGUGGACGGUCACACUGGGACUGAGACACGGCCCAGACUCCUACGGGAGGCAGCAGGGGGGAAUAUUGCACAAUGGGCGCAAGCCUGAUGCAGCGACGCCGCGUGAGGGAUGGAGGCCUUCGGGUUGUGAACCUCUUUCGCCAGUGAAGCAGGCCUGCCUCGUUUGUGGGUGGGUUGACGGUAGCUGGAUAAGAAGCGCCGGCUAACUACGUG
rnacentral:rRNA from 1 species